UCCCGAACAGGACCGUGAAACGACUCUACGCCGAUGAUAGUGCGGAUUCCCGUGUGAAAGUAGGUAAUCGUCAGGC
rnacentral:rRNA from 1 species